rnacentral:rRNA from 1 species
AUUGAACGCUGGCGGCAUGCCUUACACAUGCAAGUCGAACGGCAGCACGGGUGCUUGCACCUGGUGGCGAGUGGCGAACGGGUGAGUAAUACAUCGGAACAUGUCCUGUAGUGGGGGAUAGCCCGGCGAAAGCCGGAUUAAUACCGCAUACGAUCUACGGAUGAAAGCGGGGGCCCUUCGGGCCUCGCGCUAUAGGGUUGGCCGAUGGCUGAUUAGCUAGUUGGUGGGGUAAAGGCCUACCAAGGCGACGAUCAGUAGCUGGUCUGAGAGGACGACCAGCCACACUGGGACUGAGACACGGCCCAGACUCCUGCGGGAGGCAGCAGUGGGGAAUUUUGGACAAUGGGCGAAAGCCUGAUCCAGCAAUGCCGCGUGUGUGAAGAAGGCCUUCGGGUUGUAAAGCACUUUUGUCCGGAAAGAAAUCCUUGGCCCUAAUACGGUCGGGGGAUGACGGUACCGGAAGAAUAAGCACCGGCUAACUACGUG